rnacentral:rRNA from 1 species
CCUACGGGCGGCUGCCGUGGGGAAUAUUGCACAAUGGGGGAAACCCUGAUGCAGCAACGCCGCGUGAGUGAUGACGGCUUUCGGGAUGUAAAGCUCUGUCUUCAGGGACGAUAAUAACGGUAACCUAGGUGGAAGCCACGGCCAACUACGUGCCAGCAGCCGCGGUAAUACGUAGGUGGCGAGCGUUGUCCGGAUUUACUGGGCGUAAAGGGAGCGUAGGCGGACUUUUAAGUGAGAAGUGAAAUACUCGGGCUCAACUUGGGUGCUGCAUUUGAAACUGUAAGUCUAGAGUGCAGGAGAGGAGAAUGGAAUUCCUAGUGUAGCGGUGAAAUGCGUAGAGAUUAGGAAGAACACCAGUGGCGAAGGCGAUUCUCUGGACUGUAACUGACGCUGAGGCUCGAAAGCGUGGGGAGCAAACAGGAUUAGAUACCCUUGUAGUC